GGGUCAGUAGGUUGGUCGUGCCACCGGUACGUACUGGUCUCACUGAUUCCUCCUUCCUGAAGAACCGUAAUGCCAUUAAUUUGGUGUUGCGGGGAAACAGGACUGUUACUUUGAAAAAAUUAGAGUGUUUAAAGCAAGCUAACGCUUGAAUACAUUAGCAUGGAUAAUGAAAUAGGACGAUCGAUCCUAUUUUGUUGGUUUCUAGGAUUGACGUA
rnacentral:rRNA from 1 species